CAGUGCUAUAGCUCUUUUAGAAUUUGUCCAGCAGGCUUUCCAUUUUCCCCA
ensembl:snRNA U7 U7 small nuclear RNA